CGUAUUUUUUCUUUAAUAAACCGCACUCACUAGAGUAACGUCACACAAAUCCAAACCACGCUCAAACCACUUCCUUCACCACCGCCCGAGUCUCGGCAGCAGGAACAGCGAUAUAGCCCAUCCUCUGCAGGUUCACAUCAUCAGCACCAUCAAAAUCAUCAUCUGAAUCACGGAAUUCGAAGCUGUUGGGAUUAGCGAAAAGAGACCAGAUCAAGUAAAGAGUUCUGGCAGUGAUGGCGCCACAAGCGACUCCUAACAACAGAGAUCCAACAUCCUUGAUAAUGCCCUUAGUGCGAUCGUUUAACGAAGUGUAGAAACCAAGAAUUGGGCGUCGAAUUUCUUCACCGAUUUUGGAUCGAUGGACCAAGUGAGAGGGGUGAGUGGGGAGGAAGGUGAGUUUGGGUCGAAAUCUCUGGAUUGGGUGAGGAAAAAGUUGAGGGAUGGAUUGUUAUGUUCAAUUGGGUGAAGAAAUCGUAGGUUCAAUCGGAGUCAAGAGACUCGAGAUCUUGUAGCUUCUUUCUCUGAUUCGUUGGAGGAAAGUGUUACUACACACAACCACUAAAAAGGAUGCAUAUUGUAUGCACUCAAAAUUUCAGUCACAAUUGGUCAUGGGUUGCCCAAUGAAGCAGUUUAAAGGUAAGUGUGUGAGGGAGAGACGUGAGGGAUCGUAGAGAUGAGAGCAUCGAGGACCUGCUCAAAUUCUUCAAGGAUGAAGUUGCUGCUUUUCGUUAAGGGUGUGCUUGUACAGAAGAAGGAUACUGAUGAGACAAUCAACAUCAUAUCUCAUUACAAUUUGUUACCUGUAUUCCUUUCCUUCUUUGGUUCCUCAUUUUAAUCUCAUUAUGCUCAUCUUCUGUUAUAUAUUUAUUUAAUUCAAUUUUCUGAUUUCCUAACAGUUGUUUGCAUACAUUCUCAUAAUCGUAACCGGGAAGUUAUUAAACACAUCGUUUAAUUGUUAAUAUAUAAUCUCAAAUCUAUUCCA